GNGUGGUUUUAGUCUCACCUGGCCGGGUGUUUUACAGCCUACACAUGCAGUCGGGCGGUACCAGGAGAGCUUGCUCUCUGGGUGACGAGCGGCGGACGGGUGAGUAAUGUCUGGGAAACUGCCUGAUGGAGGGGGAUAACUACUGGAAACGGUAGCUAAUACCGCAUAACGUCUUCGGACCAAAGUGGGGGACCUUCGGGCCUCAUGCCAUCAGAUGUGCCCAGAUGGGAUUAGCUAGUAGGUGGGGUAAUGGCUCACCUAGGCGACGAUCCCUAGCUGGUCUGAGAGGAUGACCAGCCACACUGGAACUGAGACACGGUCCAGACUCCUACGGGAGGCAGCAGUGGGGAAUAUUGCACAAUGGGCGCAAGCCUGAUGCAGCCAUGCCGCGUGUAUGAAGAAGGCCUUCGGGUUGUAAAGUACUUUCAGCGAGGAGGAAGGCAUUAAGGUUAAUAACCUUGGUGAUUGACGUUACUCGCAGAAGAAGCACCGGCUAACUCCGUGCCAGCAGCCGCGGUAAUACGGAGGGUG
rnacentral:rRNA from 1 species